rnacentral:rRNA from 1 species
CCUACGGGAGGCAGCAGUGGGGAAUUGUUCGCAAUGGGCGCAAGCCUGACGACGCAACGCCGCGUGGAGGAUGAAGGUCUUCGGAUUGUAAACUCCUGUUGAUCGGGACGAAUGGGCCCCGGCCUAAUACGCCGGGGCAGUGACGGUACCGAUUGAGGAAGCCACGGCUAACUCUGUGCCAGCAGCCGCGGUAAUACAGAGGUGGCAAGCGUUGUUCGGAAUUACUGGGCGUAAAGGGCGCGUAGGUGGCCUUUUAAGUCGGACGUGAAAUCCCCAGGCUUAACUUGGGAACUGCGUCCGAUACUGGAAGGCUCGAGUUCGGGAGAGGGAUGUGGAAUUCCAGGUGUAGCGGUGAAAUGCGUAGAUAUCUGGAGGAACACCGGUGGCGAAGGCGGCAUCCUGGACCGAAACUGACACUGAGGCGCGAAAGCCAGGGGAGC